rnacentral:rRNA from 1 species
UACGUAGGGUCCAAGCGUUAAUCGGAAUUACUGGGCGUAAAGCGUGCGCAGGCGGUUCGUUAAGUCAGCUGUGAAAGCCCCGGGCUCAACCUGGGAAUUGCGGUUGAAACUGGCGAACUAGAAUCUGGCAGAGGGGGGUGGAAUUCCACGUGUAGCAGUGAAAUGCGUAGAUAUCUGGAGGAACACCGAUGGCGAAGGCAGCCUCCUGGGCUAGUACUGACGCUCAUGCACGAAAGCGUGGGGAGCAAACAGG